UACGGGGGGAGCAAGCGUUGUUCGGAUUUACUGGGCGUAAAGGGCGCGUAGGCGGCCAGCGCAAGUCAGUUGUGAAAUCUCCGGGCUUAACUCGGAACGGUCAACUGAUACUGCGCGGCUAGAGUGCAGAAGGGGCAACUGGAAUUCUCGGUGUAGCGGUGAAAUGCGUAGAUAUCGAGAGGAACACCUGCGGCGAAGGCGGGUUGCUGGGCUGACACUGACGCUGAUGCGCGAAGCCAGGGGAGCGAACGGG
rnacentral:rRNA from 1 species